UACGAGGGGGGUGCAAAUGUUGUUCGGAAUCACUGGGCGUAAAGGGAGCGUAGGCGGGUUCUUAAGUUAGGUGUUUAAUCCCGGGGCCCAACCCCGGACCGGCACUUAAAACUGGGAAUCUUGAAUAGUGGAGAGGUCAGUGGAAUUGGGGGUGUAGCGGUGGAAUGCGUAGAGAUCCCCAAGAACACCAGUUGCGAAGGCGGCUGACUGGACACAUAUUGACGCUGAGGCUCGAAAGCAUGGGGAGCAAACAGG
rnacentral:rRNA from 1 species